CGGCGGGGAGGAGAGAAGCGGGGGGGAGCGGGCGGGAGGCGAGGCCGUGCGCAGCCGCCGGCGCAGCGCGGAGCCGCAGAUGGAGCCUGCCCCCGGCGCUGCAGAAAAUUCUAAGCUGCGACACGUAGAAAAAGAUGUUUUGAUUCCACAAAUAAUGAGGGACCGAGCCAAGGAGCGGUGUUCAGAUAAAGUGCAAGGGGAACUGCUUCCUCCUCCUUCCACCAUCGCCCCACAAGUCCGCAGUGUUACUGGGGCCUCUGUUCUCCAGCCGGUGGCAGAGCUCAAGCAAUUACCUAAACGUUGGACAAACUACUUGCCUUUUUGUUUAAAGGAAAAAACGCACCCCAGGAAUAGAGCACAAGCCUGGUCUGGAUCAUGCAUUUACUAAGUGUUGUCAAGAAACUGGAUUUCUCAUGGUGGUGAAGUGUCGGCAGGAGAACUCGGCACUGAAGGACUGUCUGGUUGGCUACUAUUCUGAUCCAUUAUUCUAUGAAGAAUGCAAAGCAGAGUAUUUGAAGCAGAGAGAAGAAUACAGAGCAACUGGAAUUAAGAAAAAAAGACAGAAGGUCGCUUCAAAUGUGUAGUUAAAGCUAAAAAUGAACUUUUCAAAUUUUACAUCCAACUUUGAUUUGACUUGAUUUUAAACGGACUUAAGUCAUCUGUACCCUCUGUGUGGAAUUUAACUGAACUACACAAAAUGAGAUGAAUGGAGAAUAAAAUGAUCUUUGAGCUUAAAAGUCAAUUUUUUUAACUCUCUGUAAUGAAAUCCUUAAGGCCAGCUGUGACAGCUUGCAGGAGAACUUGCAGCACUCUGUUUCUCUGCCUGGACUCGAGGCUUUGUUACUAAUUUACAAAUGGCUGUUGGGAGUUUCAAGCUUGUGUUUAGUUCUGUGUGGCUGGUUAUGCCACAGCAAAACCUCAGGGUGAAUAACUGAAGUUGUAUUAACUGAUCACAAAUGGGGUAUGCGUUAAAAUUGGUCUGUUUGUCCUCUGAAGCUGAGGGUGUAUGGGGGUGCUCUUCGAGGCUCUUACUAGAAGAGAAUGGUGGCAAAUGCAGGAUUGCUUCUUGGACCCAUUCGAUUCAUCUUUUUCAUGAAAAUGGUGAAUCAUAUAAGAACCUGACAGCACUUUUGCCUACAUUGUGACUCAUUUUUAAGACUACCUUGUCAGAAGAGCUGCCUGCCCCAUGUCCAUGUGCAGCCCAGACUGACUGUUUUGACACUAGAGGGAAAAGCCUUCCUGACUAAACCUUCCCCACAAACAGGAGAAGGCAAAUCACCGAGAGCAGCAUCUGCCCCUGCUUUCCUCAUUCACAAUGAAGAUGAUUGUUUAAGCUCCCACACUUCAGGAGUGGGCAAGUGACCACACUUGCAAAAUGAUUAUGAGCAGAGGUGAGUAAGCAACAAACCCGAGUGUGUAAGAUGCAGGUUGCUUCUUGCAGAAACUAAAUAGGGACUUGCAAGUCCCUAUUUAAAAAGGACCUGCGUAAGAAAGGAUCUUCUGUAUACUGGUACUUGAAGCUGCUUAGUUGUAGAACUCUCAAAUGCAUAAUGGCUUCACUAGAAA